CAUGACGCAGCUAACCAUCGCAAGUCGUAACAAAGUAACCAAGAGCGAUCUAUGGGUGCUGGUCCUUAACUUUUUCGUAUUGCUCUGGCCCCCCUGCUGCAUCAAGUAUUGGCGCCUGGUGAAGGGGUUUAUCAUCUAAAAUCGUUAUGACUUGUUGUGUUCACUGGAUGCGGACAAUAACGCAGAAAAAGCUCAAACUAUCUAUCGCCCGUUGGGCAAAUUCCGCCUGAUCUGGACAAGAUUGCCCCUUCACCCCCCGCUGAAAUUUGGGCCCUGUGCCAUACCGCCCCAUUUUGUACGACUUCAUCCUGCGCUGGGGGAGCUUAGCUCUGCACAUUCUCUGGCUUACCGCUGGUCAGCGACACUUCCGCCAACGCGCUACGCUCCUUUGGUGCUGGUGAAGGUGAACAAAAGGUGGCACUCUUGCAUGGGGUACUAAUCCCACUGGAUGGUGACGGCUUUAACUUGAUGGCAUCGCGCAUAAUGGGCCAACGCGGGGAAAAUCACUAUGACAUUUUGUUGCGUAUUGUCCACAACCACGGGAACCCACUAUUCACAAAUGAGUUUAUGACGGUGCCCUUCGAGUUGGGCCAAUACCUGAUGCUGGAUUUGUGGGUGCUGCUGUUUGAAACAAAUACUAAGCUGCAUGCCAUAUAUACAGCUCACCAAAGCACGUUCUCUGACGCACAUGACACACUCGGUUGAGUGCCGACACAUAGCAGAACGAAUCAAAAAAUAAAACGGGUUUUAUCCCCCGUUAUUCCCACACGCUAAACAGAUAUCUCACUUGGAGGUUGUGCCCUUGAGGCGUGGCUUCUCGGAGCACACGCGUUUAUCUACCGCGCCGGGAGUACAGCCCCCGAGUUAAACUCUAAUGUAAUUUACCGGGCCCCACCACCGUGUAGCCUGUGUUUUAAUUUGAAUUCCACGAGAACCUUACUGCUUGAAUCCGAGAUCUCUAAGAUAGCUUUGUCCUUCGAACUCUGAAACGUGCGCAUGCUUGCUCACUCCUG
rnacentral:rRNA from 1 species